AACGAACGCUGGCGGCAUGCCUAACACAUGCAAGUCGAACGAGACCUUCGGGUCUAGUGGCGCACGGGUGCGUAACGCGUGGGAAUCUGCCCUUGGGUUCGGAAUAACAGUUGGAAACGACUGCUAAUACCGGAUGAUGACGUAAGUCCAAAGAUUUAUCGCCCAAGGAUGAGCCCGCGUAGGAUUAGCUAGUUGGUGAGGUAAAGGCUCACCAAGGCGACGAUCCUUAGCUGGUCUGAGAGGAUGAUCAGCCACACUGGGACUGAGACACGGCCCAGAAUCCUACGGGAGGCAGCGGUGGGGAAUAUUGGACAAUGGGCGAAAGCCUGAUCCAGCAAUGCCGCGUGAGUGAUGAAGGCCUUAGGGUUGUAAAGCUCUUUUACCCGGGAUGAUAAUGACAGUACCGGGAGAAUAAGCUCCGGCUAACUCCGUG
rnacentral:rRNA from 1 species